GGUUGGCCUGGUACUGCGAUCGGUACGCUGACACCUGGCGAUAUCAAACCUGGAAAUCAAUUUCAAGUUUAUUCGAUUUAUCCUCUCUUGGCGUAUCGUGAAAACGAAAGGUAGGAGGUAUUCGCAAAAAAUAUCGUAAGGGAAAAAGUAAGGUUAUAAUGAAUAAUAUCUGGAAGAUGAAUUUCGAUAUUUAUUCGACGGACGAUAUUUAUUCCUCUUUUGAAUAUUAUAAGAAGACAGUAAAAUAUGGACCAACCGAUAAGAAAAAAAAAACCUUGUUAAAGCAAGCCGUAAAAAAAAGCAUACAAGAAAAAAAAUACCCAUCAUCGAUUUAAAAAAAAAAAAAAAAAAGAAACCACUCGCUAAAUUCCAUUGAAAGCAGAGAAGAACAGUGUGAACGACCGUGUGAACGAAGAAGAAAGAGGGCCUUGGGUAGACGCAGAAGCGAUAAUAUAAUCCAUUACCGGGAAGCUGGAUAGCGUGUUAUCCGUG